rnacentral:rRNA from 1 species
UACGAAGGGGGCUAGCGUUGCUCGGAAUCACUGGGCGUAAAGCGCACGUAGGCGGAUUGCUAAGUCAGGGGUGAAAUCCUGGAGCUCAACUCCAGAACUGCCUUUGAUACUGGCGACCUUGAGUCCGGGAGAGGUGAGUGGAACUGCGAGUGUAGCGGUGAAAUGCGUAGAGAUGUGGAGGAACACCGAUGGCGAAGGCAGCCUUCUGGGCCAACACUGACGCUCAUGCACGAAAGCGUGGGGAGCAAACAGG